AUGGCUCAGGAUGAACGCUAGCUACAGGCUUAACACAUGCAAGUCGAGGGGCAUCAUGGAGUUGCUUGCAAACUCUGAUGGCGACCGGCGCACGGGUGAGUAACGCGUAUCCAACCUUCCCUAUAGUAGAGGAUAGCCCGGCGAAAGUCGGAUUAAUACUCUAUGUUUUCCGUUGCAGACAUCUAAGAUGGAACAAAGGCUUGCCGCUAUAGGAUGGGGAUGCGUCUGAUUAGGUAGUCGGCGGGGUAACGGCCCACCGAGCCAUCGAUCAGUAGGGGUUCUGAGAGGAAGGUCCCCCACAUUGGAACUGAGACACGGUCCAAACUCCUACGGGAGGCAGCAGUGAGGAAUAUUGGUCAAUGGGCGAGAGCCUGAACCAGCCAAGUAGCGUGCAGGACGACGGCCCUAUGGGUUGUAAACUGUCUUUUAUGGCGGGGAUAAAGUUCACUACGUGUAGUGUUUUGUAGGUACCGCAUGAAUAAGGACCGGCUAAUUCCGUGCCAGCCGCAGC
rnacentral:rRNA from 1 species